rnacentral:rRNA from 1 species
UACGUAGGGUGCGAGCGUUAAUCGGAAUUACUGGGCGUAAAGCGUGCGCAGGCGGUUUUGUAAGCCAGAUGUGAAAGCCCCGGGCUUAACCUGGGAAUGGCAUUUGGGACUGCAAGGCUUGAGUGCGGCAGAGGAGACUGGAAUUCCUGGUGUAGCAGUGAAAUGCGUAGAUAUCGGAAGGAACACCAGUGGCGAAAGCGGCUUCCUGGUCCAGCAUCGACGUUCAGGCACGAAAGCGUGGGGAGCAAACAGG